GAGUUUGAUCCUGGCUCAGAACGAACGCUGGCGGCGUGCUUAACACAUGCAAGUCGAACGUGAUCCGGAGCUUGCUCCGGUGAAAGUGGCGCACGGGUGAGUAACGCGUGGAUAAUCUGCCCUGGUAUCUGGGAUAACAUCUCGAAAGGGGUGCUAAUACCGGAUAAGCCCACGGGAUCCUCGGAUUCUGCGGGAAAAGGUGGCCUCUAUUUAUAAGCUACCGUAUCAGGAUGAGUCCGCGUACCAUUAGCUAGUUGGUGGGGUAAUGGCCCACCAAGGCUACGAUGGUUAGCUGGUCUGAGAGGAUGAUCAGCCMCACUGGAACUGAGACACGGUCCAGACUCCUACGGGAGGCAGCAGUGGGGAAUUUUGCGCAAUGGGGGAAACCCUGACGCAGCAACGCCGCGUGAGUGAUGAAGGCUUUCGGGUCGUAAAGCUCUGUCAGAGGGGAAGAACCUCCUGUCGGUUAAUACCCGACGGGCCUGACGGUACCCUCAAAGGAAGCACCGGCUAACUCCGUGCCAGCAGCCGCGGUAAUAC
rnacentral:rRNA from 1 species